CCCUUAGAUGUUCUGGGCCGCACGCGCGCUACACUGAUGCAUUCAACGAGUUUCUUCCUGGUCCGAGAGGAAUGGGUAACCUUUUGAAAGUGCAUCGUGAUAGGGAUAGACUAUUGCAAUUAUUGGUCUUCAACGAGGAAUUCCUAGUAGACGUAGUUCAUCAGACUGCAUCGAUUACGUCCCUGCCCUUUGUACACACCGCCCGUCGCUCCUACCGAUUGAAUGCUCAGGUGAGUCAUUCGGACCUUCAUCAUGCCGGUUUCCGGUUUUGAUGAGGGAAAGUCUUGCGAACCUUAUCAUUUAGAGGAAGGAGAAGUCGUAACA
rnacentral:rRNA from 1 species